UGAGCGGCGGACGGGUGAGUAACGCGUGGGUAACCUGCCUCAUACAGGGGGAUAACAGUUGGAAACGGCUGCUAAUACCGCAUAAGCGCACAGUACCGCAUGGUACGGUGUGAAAAACUCCGGUGGUAUGAGAUGGACCCGCGUCUGAUUAGGUAGUUGGUGGGGUAACGGCCUACCAAGCCGACGAUCAGUAGCCGACCUGAGAGGGUGACCGGCCACAUUGGGACUGAGACACGGCCAA
rnacentral:rRNA from 1 species